UAGUGUUACAGCUGUUUUAGAAUUUGUCUAGCAGGUGUUCUGUUUCUUGCUGAAAAUCAUCCCCA